rnacentral:rRNA from 1 species
CCUACGGGAGGCAGCAGUGAGGAAUAUUGGUCAAUGGACGAGAGUCUGAACCAGCCAAGUAGCGUGAAGGAUGACUGCCCUAUGGGUUGUAAACUUCUUUUAUAUGGGAAUAAAACGUUCCACGUGUGGGAUUUUGUAUGUACCAUAUGAAUAAGGAUCGGCUAACUCCGUGCCAGCAGCCGCGGUAAUACGGAGGAUCCGAGCGUUAUCCGGAUUUAUUGGGUUUAAAGGGAGCGUAGGUGGAUUUUUAAGUCAGUUGUGAAAGUUUGCGGCUCAACCGUAAAAUUGCAGUUGAAACUGGCAGUCUUGAGUACAGUAGAGGCGGGCGGAAUUCGUGGUGUAGCGGUGAAAUGCUUAGAUAUCACGAAGAACUCCGAUUGCGAAGGCAGCUCACUGGACUGCAACUGACACUGAGGCUCGAAAGUGUGGGGAUCAAACAGGAUUAGAUACCCGUGUAGUC